UCAUCUUAUCUUGGUAUACGUUAAUACUCAUAGUUAAGCUAAGUUACUCAAAUUUUUUUCAUUAAUUAGUUAUCACAUCACAUUUUUUGUUUAGAUGGCAUCAUAAUUAAUUGUCACAUCAUAAUAUGAGUACUACUACUUCCAUUAUAGAUAGUUUUACGGUUUAUUGGAGCAGUCAGCUGCCUCCUCCACCCACCCUGGAGCCGCCAUGAGGCAUCACCUCCUUCACAUCCCUUCAUACUAUUUCCAAAUUUAAGGUAGGCCUGUCGGUUCAAACGUUUAGGAUAAAGUGAAGGUUCGGUUAAUUUUCUUUUUUUACGGGACACUGACGUUACGAACGUCUAAGAAAAAGGUAAAGGGUCUGGCUGAAGAUGCUCACUGAGGAGAGCAACGUCCGCUAAAAACGGAAGCAACACCGGCUUCACGGCAACCACGCCUUGCGCACACAUCACAAAACCCACGCCAUACCGUCACCGUCCAUGAAAAAA
rnacentral:lncRNA from 1 species